rnacentral:tRNA from 11 species
ACAACCCAGGGAGUUUCGAACCCCCGACCACCUGGCUGGCAGCCUGAACAUCCAACCGUUGGGCCACGAGCUG